UGAUGUGGAGUGUGUUUGCAUAUUGAUCAGAUCUUCAGUGUGUGAGAGUGUUUAUAGUGCUGUGAGUUUAACACUUCAUCACUGACACACACAACAAUCUUCAUCAACAUGACCUUCAUCAUCAUCUUCAUCUGGACUCUCACAGCGUUUGCUCAAGAGUGUAGAGGACAGAUCACCGUCACUCAGAGUCCCUCAAUAACAGCAGAACAACCAGGAGGAACUGUGAAUAUCAAAUGUAAAACCAGCAGAGAUGUGUACAAUGAUGGUUCUGAUGAUUAUUUAGCCUGGUACUUACAGAAACCUGGAGAAGCUCCUAAACUUCUGAUUUAUUACACAAACACCCUCCAGUCAGGAACUCCAUCUAGAUUCAGUGGCAGUGGAUCUAACAGUGAUUUCACUCUGAGCAUCAGUGGAGUCCAGACUGAAGAUGCUGGACAUUAUUACUGUCAGAGUUAUCAUGAGACCGACAGUGGUGAUGAUGUGUUCACACAGUGAUAAAGAGUCGUACAAAAACCUCCGUCAGUCAGAGUCACAGUGACUGAACUGAAACUGCAGCUG